rnacentral:sRNA from 1 species
GAAACGUGUCAGGAACCAAAUAGUUUAAGAUGAGCAGUUGAGGGGACUGAGAGAGUGAUCCACACAGAACCUGGCUUCUUCGUGCUUCAUCAUAAGUCGUGCUGCCGGCCAGGUUACUUAAGCACCCUUUUAACAAGGAAACCUUGUGGGAGAUCCAGCUGGCCGACUCGAGUUCAGAAACAGGACCACAGAGGUUACACUCUGGGAUCCUGGCCAUGAGGUUGGAUGCCUCACCUUACUGAAAGGAGACACUGGACCUAAAUGGCGCAGCAUGAUUUUGUUCCUGCUUGGCUAAAUUUCUCAACACCACAGUCAGCUAAGGUACUGUUCUCCAUUCCUGUAGUAACUUCUCAAAUACGAGAGGGUUUGGGGGUGGUUUUGGUUGUUUUUUGGUUUCAUUUUGUUUUGAGACAGGGUCUCCCUCUGUCACCCAGGAUGAAGUGCGGUAAUGUGAUCACAGCUCACUGCAGCUUUGGCCUCCUGGGCUCAGGCAAUCCUCCUGACUCAGCUCCCAGAGUAGCUGGGCCUACAGGCUGUGUACCACCACGCCCUGCUAAUUUUUGUUUUUGUUGUUGUUGUUUUAUAGAGAUGGAA